GCCAAACCGCGCGCGUGUGACAGGCGCCAGCCGUUGCNCGCGUGGUGUUGAGGGAGCGUGUGUCCGGGUCCUGGCGGGCCCGGCCGGAGUGAUAAAACGGCGUGUGAGGCGAACCGGAUUGAAUGCCGGGCCGCAGAGGGUGAUGGCCCCGUAGCCGAACGCGCGWCGUCUCCGGAUCGUGUUUCCCAAGUAGCGCGGGACUCGUGGAAUCCCGUGUGAAUCCGCCCCGACCGUGGGGUAAGCCUAGAUAUACCUGUCUGACCGAUAGCGAACUAGUACCGUGAGGGAAAGGUGAAAAGCACCCCGGGAGGGGAGUGAAACAGUCUCUGAAACCGUGCGCUUACAAACCGUCGGAGCCUUUCGGGGUGACGGCGUGCCUAUCGAAAAAUGAGUCUGCGAGUCAGUGGCACGUGGCGAGCGUAACCCGUGUGGGGUACGCGUAGCGAAGGCGAGUCUCAAAAGGCGUUUGAGUCGCGUGUCCUGGACCCGAAGCGGGAUGAUCUAGCCCUGAGCAGGUUGAAGCGCGGGUAAGACCGCGUGGAGGACCGAACCCACCUGGGUUGAAAACCGGGGGGAUGACUUGGGGUUAGGGGUGAAAGGCCAAUCAAAUUCCGUGAUAGYUGGUUCUCUCCGAAAUGCAUUUAGGUGCAGCGUCGGGGAUUACGUCCGGGGGGUAGAGCUACUGGAUGCUUGAGGGCCCGUAUCGGGUACCGACAGCAGCCAAACUCCGAAUACCCGUGACGCGUAUCCCGGCAGUGAGUCGGCGGGGGAUAAGCUCCGUCGUCGAAAGGGAGACAGCCCAGAUCGUCGUCUAAGGUCCCCAAGCGCGUGCUAAGUGGGAAAGGAUGUGGAGUCGCAUAGACKGCCRGGAGGUUGGCUCAGAAGCAGCCACCCUUGAAAGAGUGCGUAACAGCUCACUGGUCUAGUGGUUCCGCGCCGACAAUGUAGCGGGGCUCAAGCACGCCACCGAAGACGCGGCAGCGUCCGUUUGGAUGCUGGGUAGGAGAGCGUCCCCAUCGGGGCGAAGCGGCGGCGCAAGCCUGCCGUGGACCGUUGGGGAGUGAGAAUGCAGACAUGAGUAGCGAGAGGCGGGUGCGAAUCCCGCCCGCUGGAUGACCAAGGGUUCCGGGGCCACGUUCGUCGUCCCCGGGUGAGUCGGGUCCUAAGGCGAGGCCGACAGGCGUAGUCGAAUGGAUGAACGGGCUGAUAUUCCCGUACCGGCAGCGAACCGAAACAACCGAGGCCUGGGGCGCUAACCUCCGGGUCCGUGCCGUCUCCCCUUUCGGGGGGUCGCGGCGCGGGCGCGUUGGGAUCCCCCCUCGUAGUAGGUCAGCGCAGGAGUGACGCAUCAGGGCAGCCGGCCGCGGAGGUGGUUUUCCGUGGUCAAGCGUUCGAGCCCGUCCCGCAGGCAAAUCCGCGGGGCAUCGGGGCGAGGCGUGAUGAUGGGGGCCUUACGGCCCGAAUCCGGUGAUCCGUGGUGCCGAGAAAAGCUUCGGCGUCAGGCGCGUUGCCGCCCGUACCCCAAACCGACACUGGUGGUCAGGUAGAGAAUACCAAAGCGAUCGAGCGAAUCCUGGUCAAGGAACUCGGCAAAUUGCUCCCGUGCCUUCGGCAUAAGGGAGACCCCCUGCGGUGAUGAGCGGCGGGGGGUGGCACAGGCCAGGGGGUAGCGACUGUUUACCAAAAACACAGGAGCGUGCGAAGGCGCAAGCCGCUGUAUACGCUCUGACGCCUGCCCGGUGCCGGAAGGUUAAGAGGAUCCGUCAGCUUUCUGCGAAGCGGUGAAUUCAAGCCCCGGUAAACGGCGGUGGUAACUAUAACCAUCCUAAGGUAGCGAAAUUCCUUGUCGGGUAAGUUCCGACCUGCACGAAUGGCGUAACGACUUCCCCACUGUCUCGACCAGGAGCUCGGCGAAAUUGCAGUACGAGUAAAGAUGCUCGUUAAGCGCAGAAGGACGAAAAGACCCCGGGACCUUUACUAUACCUUGGUAUUGGCAUUAGGCGCGGAUUGUGUAGCAUAGGCGGGAGGCUUCGAGGCGGGUGCGCCAGCAUCCGCGGAGCCGCAAGGUGAAAUACCGCUCUGUUCUCGUUUGAUGUCUAACCUCGAACAGUCAUCCUGUUCAGGGACAGUGCCUGGCGGGUAGUUCAACUGGGGCGGUUGCCUCCCAAAGAGUAACGGAGGCGCUCAAAGGUCCGCUCGGCCCGGUUGGCAAUCGGGUGUCGAGUGUAAUCGCACAAGCGGGCUUGACUGCGAGAUCGACGGAUCGAGCAGGGACGAAAGUCGGAGAUAGUGAUCCGGUGCCGGCGCACGGGCGCGGCAUCGCUCAACGGAUAAAAGGUACCCCGGGGAUAACAGGCUGAUCAUUCCCAAGAGUCCAUAUCGACGGGAUGGUUUGGCACCUCGAUGUCGGCUCGUCGCAUCCUGGGGCUGGAGCAGGUCCCAAGGGUUCGGCUGUUCGCCGAUCAAAGCGGCACGCGAGCUGGGUUCAGAACGUCGUGAGACAGUUUGGUCUCUAUCCUCUGCGCUCGUUGGAAUCUUGAGGAGGCCUGCCCAUAGUA
rnacentral:rRNA from 1 species